CCUACGGGGGACUGCAGUGGGGAAUCUUGGGCAAUGGAGGAAACUCUGACCCAGCAACGCCGCGUGAAUGAUGAAGGUCUUCGGAUUGUAAAGUUCUUUUCUACGGGAAGAAGAAAGUGACGGUACCUUAGGAAUAAGCCUCGGCUAACUACGUGCCAGCAGCCGCGGUAAUACGUAGGGGGCAAGCGUUAUCCGGAAUGACUGGGCGUAAAGGGUGCGUAGGUGGUUUGAUAAGUUGGUAGCGUAACUCCGGGGCUCAACCUCGGCACUACAACCGAAACUGUCGGACUUGAGUGCAGGAGGGGAAACUGGAAUUCCUAGUGUAGCGGUGGAAUGCGUAGAUAUUAGGAGGAACACCAGUGGCGAAGGCGAGUUGCUGGACUGUAACUGACACUGAGGCACGAAAGCGUGGGGAGCGAACAGGAUUAGAUACCCUAGUAGUC
rnacentral:rRNA from 1 species